AUCAAAUGCUUAGCGGUGCCCUUCUCCUCGCCUUGCGAACUUUCCUCUUCCCAGCCUUGAGCAAACCACAAGACGGCUGAAACCUCAAGAGGCCGAUCAGUUCUGUUGGGCGUUAUUACAAGGAACCAUUACUGUUUCAAGAAAAUCCCAUAAUGAUGGCGGCCACACAGGCAGUGGAUUUGGAUAAGCGGCGUAGCUGUAACUGGCCUUGUCCCAGUCUCAAAACUGUCUUUCUAUGACCCCCACGUAACACCUGAUCCGGUUCAGAUGCUUCUGUCUUAACCCCGGGUUUACUUUUGAAAUUCAUAUUUGUUUAUGUGAUGGUUUACAGAAUGAAGAGAACUGUUGCACACUUGCUGUCUACCUCAAUGAAGAUCCAAACAGAUUGAUAAAAGAUUUUAUGUGUUCUAGCUUUCCUCCUGUAGUUAGCAUGAAGGUCCAACAAGGAACAUUGGCAGUGACUGUUGGCAAGAUGCAGGACCUGUUUUGGCCCUCCCAUCGUGUUGGUCCUCGAGAGACGACUCCAUUUAACUCAUGAAAAAGAAGGGGAAAAAAAACCUUCAAAGAUCAGUGGGCGCACAGAGGCGAUAAAAUGUGAGUACCUGCGUGCGUGCGAUGGCUAAGACUCGCUUAGUGUAAGGCCAAGAGGAGCGUGAUGUUUCUCUUGGACAGAGGAAGCAGUCAUGGUAUCAGGUGUGAUACCUGCAUCGGCACCAGAGAAAACACGGCUGAAGUGGACCAGCGCAAGCUAGCCGGAUUUGUAUUUCCAAGGCGCGAGGAGCUCACCGCACAGACGAAGCAUUCCGGAUGCCACGUGUCGUUGGCCGCGCUCAGGUAGUUUUUCGUCACGGACCCACCGCAGCCUGCGCACUUGGGGGCGAAGAGGCGGUAGAAGUCGGCGGAACAAUACGGCUUCCCAUCCUUCUCCAGGAAACCUUUGAACGCACAUUGCUAAUGACCUCAUUGCACUUUUUUUUUUUUUAAAGGCCCUUGCAAAGGUUUUUUUUAUGGUACCGUCAUCGCCAAAAAAAUCUCCACAGUGUGCGCAGAAAAAGUGAUCCGGAUGCCAGGUCUGGUCCAGAGCUGUCAGGAUGUUCUGUAACAUCAAAUAUCAACAAAUUACUUUUUAGAUUGCCAUUAUACAGUUGGAAUGAUUGACUUUGCUGUGCAGUAUGUCUACAGUAGCGAGCUGAGACGUACCCUAGUGAGGAUAAGCGAUUCAAAAAAAUAGAUGGGAUGAACGGAAAAUGUUAGGUACUGUUUACUUAACAUUUAAGAUUGAUUAUGUAGUGUUAGCCAUUGUAGUACUGGGAUCAAAAAAAGUCUUAUCUUAUUAUCUUGCCUAUAGCCUGUUAUUGGUUUAGUUUAGCUUUGUUUAUCUUAGCUUGGGUUGGCUUGAUUUAGCUUAUCUUAGUCUGGGAUAGCUUUUAUAUGAAGAUUUUUGAAAGCAAUAAGAUGGUAGAUUUGCACAUGCUAAUUGACUUGUCUACUAAUGGAUGAAUGAAUUCCUGCUGUAAUAUAUUUGACUGCUAACAAAUGGGAGGCCUCCUACCUGCACAAUGGGCCCCUUGCAGUAGGCGCAGCACGGCGCAAAGAGCUUCUCGUAGUCUUCCCGGCAGUACGGGCGUCCGUCCCUCUCAAAGUAGCCUGUGGUACUCAGCUCCGUCUGACACGCCACACACACAAAGUGCUGCGGGUGCCACAUUUUCCCUAAAGCCGCCAGCAUCUGAGCAAGACAGGAAGAGGUUCGGAUGUGAGGGAGAAACAUUUUAGGAAAAUAAGAAAAUAAAAUCAAGAGUACCUUUCCCACAAUCACUUUGUUGCAGGCGGCACAGCGGCCCUUGGCUGCAGUGUGGACUCCAAUCUUUUCAAAGUCAGUGCUCAGUCCUCCGAGAAGAUCAUCAAUGCUGUCUGAGUCUUUGCCCCCGGCUGAAGCCUUCGAGUCAAAAUCCCCUUGACCAUCUUUUGUUUUCUUCUCAUCAGACUGCUCCUGUAGAAGCGGCGAAGGUGCUGUGUCCUAAAUGGAGAUAAGGAUGGCGGACAAUGGGUUGCAUGCUCAAACGUGGGGUUGGCCUCAGUGUCCAAAUUGGAACAAUGCUGCCCCCUCUUGGUGAGUGUGGUUAAGUUCACAAGUUCAGUAUGCAAGGUCCACGUAGAAAGGUAAAAGGUGAGGCAACACUCACCCCUGAUGCCAGGCUCAACAGAUCUUGCAAAAUGGAGUCCAGUUCGACGGUGGGUGAGUCCUGGGAAGCUGCUUCGGGAAGAGCUGGCUCACUAAAAACCCCACGAGAAGAUCAGUUGUUCAAAGUCUUAUAAGUCAACGUGCUUUUUUUUCUUUCUUUCUUUUUCCAUGUGUUUUGGAUGCCACCACUGGAGGGUACCAUUGUUGGCAAAUCAGGAAAAUUACUAUGGAGGUUGAAGUUGUGCAAUAUUUAGUGAAUGAACCUGUGCAGUUUUAGGUUAGAUCCCUUAUUAGGUCUGGUGCUGACGGCAGCCGACUCCUUCAAGGUUUCACGACUGUCUUCUGAAGCAGUCGGAUUAAGGGCGAGCUCUUCCAACAGCAAGUCUGGAACAUAAGUUGAAGGUUUAGCCGGUAAGUGGUGUGUUUGUGUUUCCUGUCAAACUCUCAGACGGCAGAGGUGUCUGUGUUUUCUGUUUGAGAUUAAUGUGUGCAAACGGGUUUCCUCAGGAAGUGAUGUUAGAACUUUUACAGAAGUAAAAUUUGCUGAAAUAAUCCUUUUGAAAAUAUUCAAGUCAAUCUCAGUGCAGUCACGCACAUAUUAAUGAUGGUAAUACUCGAACGAUAGGUGCGGCUGUAGUUGUUUUUCAAGUGUAAAUAAGUUUAAAAUAAAUGAACUGUUUGGAAUAUUUUGCCCUCCUCCAUGUUGCUCAAUGUUGUAUUAUACGGGAAAGAACCACAAAAAAAAGAAUGCCUCUGACAAUUUCAACCAAAAGCGCGCAUAUCUACUUUAUAAAACUAGGAUUUGACACAUUUGGGGGAUUUCAUCAGAUUAGAUCACGAAUGGGCGCCAUUAAAUUUAUCCUGAGACAACUGACUACAUAAGAUCACUUUGCCUCAGAAUCAAAUUCGACUGAUUUAUCUGCGAAUCACUGAAAAUAGAUUGCAAAAAGUUGCCUUACCAAGUUCAUCCAUGUUUCUCUCAGAAUGAAUUUGUCUGACUGUUGUUGUUUUCUCUCUCUCUCUCCCUCCCUGCAGCUGCUGUUACUCAAGUUACCACAAGUCAUAUCUUCACUUCCUCUGUUGAUAUUUCUGACAUAUUGCUGAAUCUAGACAUUUUUUUAUUUAAACUCAGCCAUAUGAUCUUUUGGAUUUUGUGUGUGUGUGAUUUUACAAUGUGUGCCAUUUUUUAACUUUAAGCGUCACGUUAUUAAUAGCAUCUGGAGAGCAGCGCCGUUUUGCUGAAGUGGAGAAAACUGACAUAAAAUCACACUUAAGUUUA